rnacentral:rRNA from 1 species
GACGAACGCUGGCGGCGUGCUUAACACAUGCAAGUCGAACGGAAAGGCCCUGCUUUUGUGGGGUGCUCGAGUGGCGAACGGGUGAGUAACACGUGAGUAACCUGCCCUUGACUUUGGGAUAACUUCAGGAAACUGGGGCUAAUACCGGAUAGGAGCUCCUGCUGCAUGGUGGGGGUUGGAAAGUUUCGGCGGUUGGGGAUGGACUCGCGGCUUAUCAGCUUGUUGGUGGGGUAGUGGCUUACCAAGGCUUUGACGGGUAGCCGGCCUGAGAGGGUGACCGGCCACUGUGGGACGGAGGACCGGCCCAGACCCCUACGGGGGGAAGAGGGGGGGAAUUGUGCACAAGGGGCGGAAGCCUGAUGCAGCAACCCCGGGGGCGGGAUGGGGGCCUUCGGGUUGAAAACCCCUUUCGCCUGGAAAGAAGGGGGGGUGAGGGUAAGGGGUAAAGAAGCACCGGCUAACUAGGU